rnacentral:rRNA from 1 species
GGCGGCAUGGAUUAGGCAUGCAGUCGAACGAGAAACUUUUCUUCGGAGAAGUGGAAAGUGGCGAAAGGGUGAGUAACGCGUGAGUAAGCUGCCCUCAAGUUGGGAAUAAUCCCGCGAAAGCGGGACUAAUACCGAAUGUGGUUAACAUAACACAUGUUUUGUUAUCUAAAGAUUUAUCGCUUGAGGAUGUGCUCGCGUCCCAUUAUGCUUGUUGGUAGGGUAACGGCCUACCAAGGCUCUGACGGGUAGGUGGUCUGAGAGGAUGGUCACCCACACUGGGACUGAGACACUGCCCAGACUCCUACGGGAGGCUGCAGUCGAGAAUCUUCCGCAAUGGGCGAAAGCCUGACGGAGCAAUGCCGCGUGCAGGAUGACGGCCUUUGGGUUGUAAACUGCUGUCACAGGGGAUGAAUACAUGACAGUACCCUGAGAGGAAGCCACGGCUAACUACGUGCCAGCAGCCGCGGUAAUACGUAGGUGGCGAGCGUUGUUCGGAUUUAUUGGGCGUAAAGGGUUCGUAGGGGGUAAACUAAGUUUGAUGUGAAAUCCCGAGGCUUAACCUCGGAACUGCAUUGAAAACUGGAUUACUAGAGCACUGGAGAGGAGAGCGGAAUUCCUGGAGUAGCGGUGGAAUGCGUAGAUAUCAGGAAGAACAUCGAUAGCGAAGGCAGCUCUCUGGACAGUUGCUGACCCUGAGGGACGAAAGCGUGGGUAGCGAACAGGAUUAGAUACCCUGGUAGUCCACGCCGUAAACGUUGUGUGCUUGGUGUGGGAGGAUUCAACCCCUUCCGGAUCGGAGCUAACGCGUUAAGCACACCGCCUGGGGACUACGGCCGCAAGGCUAAAACUCAAAGGAAUUGACGGGGGCCCGCACAAGCGGUGGAGCAUGUGGCUUAAUUCGAGGCAACGCGAANAACCUUACCCGGGUUUGACAUGUAACUGCUCGUCUGUGAAAGCAAAUUU